ensembl:lncRNA
CAAAGGCAAGAGCAGAGCGCUAGGGAUUUAGAACAAUUGGCAUUGUUAAAGGUAACAGGGAGAGCUUUCAUUCAAAACAUGCUACAUAUCCCACAUAUGCUGGUGUAGCUCCCAGCACUGGUAGUGGUAAAUGAUGUAUAAAAGGAGUGAAUGCUGAGAUGUAACCACACAUAAAGAAAAGGAAUUCCCUGAUGGUGGGGCACAGCUGCUUUUACAAAGAAAGCAGAAAUAAACUGAUGUGAGACACCAAAAGUAAAAGAAAUCAUUGCCUCUCUAGACUGUCAGGUCUACGAUCCACAAAUAAGGAGGAAUUCAUGCCAAGAAUUAGAAUAGGUGGCUCAGAUGGAUUCAGGGCAGAUAAGUACUGCUCAGCAGAGGGCAUAAUCUCCCAUUACUGCGUGAUGUAUGCACUGAGAGUAGAAAAAGAUGGAAUAACCACUAGAGAGAAGAGCCAGUGACACGACAUAAUGUACGUAUCACCAGUAAGAACAUUUUAGAACUGGACUAUAGCACUCACUCAUACUGAUUCAUAUUUGCUUGUUAAAGAAACCCAGUACGGAUGUAUGGUAUCUUAUGCUUAUAUUGAGCAAGCACAAUUAUAUAGAUAUUUUGUUCAAAAUAAGAUAUUCAAGUGGGAAGUGUUGAAAUGAAAUUUUUCAUACAUCAUGUUCAAAAGCCUGAAAAACCAGGCAUACAUUUGUGAUUCAAGUUAAAGAGAACUGCAAAUAAAGAGGAUAUUAGGAUCUUAAACUAUUAAUGUCUUGGACAUUAAAAUAUAGCUUAUCAGUGACUUUUAAGUUCUACUAAUUUGGCCCAUGAGAUUUUGCACAAGCAAACAUGGGAAAGAAAAAUUUCUAUGUUAUAGAAGUAAUGUGGGGUUUGUUUUUUCAUCUUUAUGUCUCACCUUUUUAUGCAUCUUUGUAGCUAAAUUUACAUCUUCAUAUCUUUGUAAAAAUUUUAUCACCACAGUAUAAUUCAUUAAACUGGAUCACUCAUUUUGUGGUACUUUUUUAAUUUAGGCAGAAGAAGCAAUUAAAUGUGCAUACCUUUAGAUGUUCUUUGGUUGCCAUUUUGAUUUUUAAACAGGACACAAAUUAAAGAUAUGUCAGGGUUUCUGAUUUGGAUCAAAACCACAACAAAUGGAUUAGACGAUGAAGGAGCUCAGGAUAAAGCUAGUAAUUCACUUCUCUGUCUGAUUUUUGGAGUACAAAAGAAACACAAUCAACUCAAACCCAGAAUGAAAUAGUUUGGCUAUUUCAUCUUGUAUCUGAUAUGAUCUCUUCUCAAUUUGCAAAGCAACAUUACUUUUCCUUGCACAGCAUUGCUGUUCAUUCACUGCUAAGCCAUUUUUUUUUAUUUAUUUCUGUGUUAGAGACAUUUAAGUUCUGAGUCCAAUAUUUCAUCAGAAUCAUUCCUAUUAUUACCAUUCAUAAAACAUGGGAGGCCAUACAUUAAUGUGAAAUAUACUUUUCAGCAUGAGACUGAAACUUCAUGAAAUUACACAUACACACACACACAGAAAGAAAAUAAAAUCAGGAAAUAUAGCACAUGCUGUGCCAACAGCCCUUCUCCAAGGAUCCAUACUGUUUGGAGAUUUCUUUCAAACUGUUUUUCUUUUCUUUUCUUUUCUUUUCUUUUCUUUUCUUUUCUUUUCUUUUCUUUUCUUUUCUUUUCU